rnacentral:rRNA from 1 species
UACGUAGGGAGCAAGCGUUGUCCGGAAUCAUUGGGCGUAAAGCGCGCGUAGGUGGCCUCAUAAGUCCGCUGUGAAAGUCAAAGGCUCAACCUUUGAAAGCCGGUGGAUACUGUGGGGCUAGAGUACGGAAGAGGCGAGUGGAAUUCCUGGUGUAGCGGUGGAUGCGCAGAUAUCAGGAGGAACACCAAUAGCGAAGGCAGCUCGCUGGGACGUUACUGACACUGAGGCGCGAAAGCGUGGGGAGCGAACAGG